rnacentral:tRNA from 1 species
GGAGCGGUGCUCGAGUGGCUGAAGAGGCACGCCUGGAAAGCGUGUAACCGGCACAACCGGUUCCCGAGUUCGAAUCUCGGUCGCUCCGCUA